rnacentral:rRNA from 1 species
CCCUUAGAUGUUCUGGGCCGCACGCGCGCUACAAUGAUGAAUUCAACGAGUUUAUAACCUUGGUUGAAAAGCCUGGGUAAUCUUUUGAACUUUCGUCGUGAUGGGGCUAGACCCUUGCAAUUAUUGGUCUCCAACGAGGAAUUCCUAGUAAACGCAGGUCAUCAGCUUGCAUUGAUUACGUCCCUGCCCUUUGUACACACCGCCCGUCGCACCUACCGAUUGAAUGGUCCGGUGAAAUCUUCGGAUUGAGACUUUGAUUUCUUCACGGAAAACGCUGUUUUAAAAAGUUGAUUAAACCUUACCAUUUAGAGGAAGGUGAAGUCGUAACA